UACGUAGGGUGCGAGCGUUGUCCGGAAUUAUUGGGCGUAAAGAGCUCGUAGGCGGUGUGUCGCGUCGGUCGUGAAAACUUGGGGCUUAACCCUGAGCUUGCGGUCGAUACGGGCAUCACUGGAGUUCGGCAGGGGAGACUGGAAUUCCUGGUGUAGCGGUGAAAUGCGCAGAUAUCAGGAGGAACACCGGUGGCGAAGGCGGGUCUCUGGGCCGAUACUGACGCUGAGGAGCGAAAGCGUGGGGAGCGUACAGG
rnacentral:rRNA from 1 species